UACGUAGGGUGCAAGCGUUCUUCGGAAUUACUGGGCGUAAAGCGUGCGCAGGCGGUUUUGUAAGUCUGUCGUGAAAUCCCCGGGCUCAACCUGGGAAUGGCGAUGGAGACUGCAAGGCUAGAAUCUGGCAGAGGGGGGUAGAAUUCCACGUGUAGCAGUGAAAUGCGUAGAGAUGUGGAGGAACACCGAUGGCGAAGGCAGCCCCCUGGGUCAAGAUUGACGCUCAUGCACGAAAGCGUGGGGAGCAAACAGG
rnacentral:rRNA from 1 species